UCAAUUAAAUGAACCUGCAUGACCACGCCAAAGCUUCCAGAGCCCACAACUUUACUCGAAGUGUAAGAAAGUUGCUUCACCUCUCCCGUUGACCCAUCACGAGCGGUUUCCUUUAUAAUACGAAAGGGGUCCACAGGAACUAUUUAUACGGUUAGAACAACAGCACUAUCGAAGUUAGCCAACUUACUUUUAGUACCAUGAUUCAUUAUGGAUGAUGAUACAGAAAUGUUAAAUUACAAAAUGAAAAAAAAGCUAUCAGAGGACUUAAAAAGGAGGUUUUCUUGGCGUGAUGAACGUGGAGUACGGGUUGUGGUAGUGGAGGAAGUUCUACCAUAGAAUAAUCUCUGGGGUAUAGUAGCAUGAUACAAAGUGCGUACUUCUAAGAGGUAACAUUACGGGACAUGAGCAAAUCAUAAAACUGUAAACUCUCGGCGCAAGUAUCAAAGAAAAGAGGGUUCAUU